AUCAUGUCAAGAAAUAUGAGGAAAAAUAACUUUCAGAUAGUAGAUCUUAAAUAUUAGGAACCGUAAAAACACAGCUGUAGACAGGUCUACAACUACAAAUAGACAGUGUGCGCCACCUAGAGGCAGGUCUGUAUCAGUCUCUCACUCUCUCAUGGCUGUGUUGCUGCUCCCUUAAGUAACACAUCUGAAAACAAUCUGGAUCCUGAUGAUUAAUUAAACAGAAAAGUAGUUCAGGAACACGGCAGCAGUCUAGCAUUCGGCAAUACAAUCUAUGCUCUGAAGGACGUGCCUGUUGGUUGGUUGGUGCAGUGCUGAUAUAUUUUUAAUGUGUUGGAAACCCAAACGGAAAUGACCUGCUUGUUUUUGCUGUCCAAGGGGAUACAAGGAGGUGCAGGGCACAGAUGCAGUCCCACUGGACAUUUGUGGUUAAAGGAGCCAGGCUUGUGCACGUGAGAAAAAACACACACAUACAGUUGGAUCAGUUUGGACAAAGGAACCUUCAUAAACUCUUCCUGUAAGGUCCUUGCCUCUCCAUUGCAACACUGGCUCUUCUCCAUAGUAUCCAGGAAUGCAAGAUCCUCGCUUUACUUUGUUUCGGCCUUAGUAAAGUG